rnacentral:rRNA from 1 species
GACGAACGCUGGCGGCGUGCUUAACACAUGCAAGUCGAACGGUGAAGGGACCGGUUUUUGCUGGUUCUGGAUGAGUGGCGAACGGGUGAGUAACACGUGAGUAACCUGCCCCCUUCUUCUGGAUAACCGCUUGAAAGUGUGGCUAAUACGGGAUAUUCUGCGCCUGCUGCAUGGUGGGUGUGGGAAAGAUAUUGUUUCGGUGGGGGAUGGGCUCGCGGCCUAUCAGCUUGUUGGUGGGGUGAUGGCCUACCAAGGCGGUGACGGGUAGCCGGCCUGAGAGGGUGGACGGUCACACUGGGACUGAGACACGGCCCAGACUCCUACGGGAGGCAGCAGUGGGGAAUAUUGCACAAUGGGCGCAAGCCUGAUGCAGCGACGCCGCGUGAGGGAUGGAGGCCUUCGGGUUGUAAACCUCUUUCGCCAGUGAAGCAGGCCUGUCCCUUUUGUGGGUGGGUUGACGGUAGCUGGAUAAGAAGCGCCGGCUAACUACGUG